UGUUUUAAUUGUAAAAAUAAGCCAGUCCCUUUCUUCCUAGUGAAGUGGGAGAAACGGUUUACACUGUCCGACCAGAAACACUUCCGUUCUCUGGGACUCCUGCUAGGGGGCGCCGCUAGAUUCCAUCCUAUUUCUCCGAUACAAGUAUCAGAACUCUCAUCACCUGCAAAUCUGGGGGGAAAUGCGGGCGCGCACAGAGAGCGUUUCGAGCAAAGACGGCCUUUAAGCUUUUCUUCACUAAGCGUGCGGCUCUCCAGUGAAACAGCAGCUAGCUCUGGAAGGGACCUUGCACGGUGUCGAUGACAUCACUUCCGGGCGCCAGGUUCGGGUUUUCUCCUGCAGCAAUAAGGGCAGUCGACAGUCUUUACUAGGGAAAGGAGACAAGUGCUGGCUACUACCGCCCAAGAGGAAGGAAUUAUCUAUAGAGUCAGUAUGCUAAUCUUGAAUAAGACAGCAGGAGUUUUUUUUAAACCAUCAAAAAGGAAAGUUUAUGAAUUUUUAAGAAGUUUUAAUUUUCAUCCUGGAACACUAUUUCUUCACAAAAUAGUAUUGGGAAUUGAAACCAGUUGUGAUGAUACAGCAGCUGCUGUGGUGGAUGAAACUGGAAAUGUGUUGGGAGAAGCAAUACAUUCCCAAACUGAAGUUCAUUUAAAAACAGGUGGGAUUGUUCCUGCAGUAGCUCAACAGCUUCACAGAGACAAUAUUCAACGAAUAGUACAAGAAGCUCUUUCUGCCAGUAGAAUCUCACCAAGUGACCUCUCAGCAAUUGCAACUACCAUAAAACCAGGACUUGCUUUAAGCCUGGGAGUGGGCUUAUCAUUUAGCUUACAGCUGGUAGGACAGUUAAAAAAGCCAUUCAUUCCCAUUCAUCAUAUGGAGGCUCAUGCACUUACUAUUAGGUUGACCAAUAAAGUAGAAUUUCCUUUUUUAGUUCUUUUGAUUUCUGGAGGUCACUGUCUGUUGGCAUUAGUUCAAGGAGUUUCAGAUUUUCUGCUUCUUGGAAAGUCUUUGGACAUAGCACCAGGUGACAUGCUUGACAAGGUGGCAAGAAGACUUUCUUUAAUAAAACAUCCAGAGUGCUCCACCAUGAGUGGUGGGAAAGCCAUAGAACAUUUGGCCAAACAAGGAAAUAGAUUUCAUUUUGACAUCAAACCUCCCUUGCAUCAUGCUAAAAACUGUGAUUUUUCUUUUACUGGACUUCAACAAGUUACUAAUAAAAGAAUAAUGAAAAAGGAAAAAGAGGAAGGUAUUGAGGAGGGGCAAGUCCUGUCUUCAGCUGCAGACAUUGCUGCCACAGUACAGCACACAAUGGCAUGUCAUAUUGUGAAAAGAACACAUCGGGCUAUUCUGUUUUGUAAGCAGAGAGACUUGUUACCUCAAAAUAAUGCAGUACUGGUUGCAUCUGGUGGUGUUGCAAGUAACUUCUAUGUCCGCAGAGCUCUGGAAAUUUUAACAAACGCAACACAGUGCACUUUGUUGUGUCCUCCUCCCAGACUGUGCACUGAUAAUGGCAUUAUGAUUGCAUGAUGUCCUCUUGGAGUAGACAUAUCAAAAGAAGUUGGAGAAGCUGCCAUAAAAGUACCACAAUUAAAAAUGGAGAUAUGAUUUCUGCUGUUCAAAAAAGUCCCUAAAGGGUCUCACUCUCGGACCUCGGCUGGUAGCAAGAGAUCUACAGUAGCAAGAUCACAACUCACUGCAACUCUGACUUCCUGAACUCAAGCAAUCCUCCUGCCUUAGCCUCUUGAAUAGCUGGGACUACAGGUGUGCAUGUCCACGCCCAGCCAACUUUAUUUCUAUUUUUUGUAGAGACAGGCUCUUGCCAUGUUGCCCGAACUGGUCCUGAACUGCUGAGUUCAAGUGAUCCUCCCACCUUGGCCUCCAGAAGUGCUGGGAUUACAGGUGUGAGCCACCAUGCCUAGCCAAAAUAUUUCUUAAGUAUACAUUUUGGGUCUUAGAAGACUUAUACAUUUGUAAUAUGUAUUACUAAAUAUAUCACAGUAUUAUAAUAAAUGUUACCAUGUGAGCUACUUUGAAUCAGGCCUCUUGCACGCCAAUUUAAAAAUGUUAACUCUUGAUAUAUACACUAGUUAUACCACUCAUGUCAGUCAAUAAAUUUUAAGGUUUAAGUGCAGGCCUUCUUUUAAAGAAAUCCUACUUAUUAUUUGAAACCAUAAUUCUGAUCUGAUAUUAAAUUCCCGUAGACAUGCUAAGGAAAGUCUGCUUAGUAUCGAGAUCAAGAACUUCCAUUCAAAAAGAUUAUUCAGUUACGUUAUUUGCAUAUUACCAUUAUUAAAAA